rnacentral:rRNA from 1 species
CCUACGGGAGGCAGCAGUGGGGAAUAUUGCACAAUGGGGGAAACCCUGAUGCAGCAACGCCGCGUGAGUGAAGAAGUAUUUCGGUAUGUAAAGCUCUAUCAGCAGGGAAGAAAAUGACAGUACCUGACUAAGAAGCCCCGGCUAACUACGUGCCAGCAGCCGCGGUAAUACGUAGGGGGCAAGCGUUAUCCGGAUUUACUGGGUGUAAAGGGAGCGUAGACGGCUGCGCAAGUCAGAAGUGAAAGCCCGGGGCUCAACCGCGGGACUGCUUUUGAAACUGUGUAGCUAGAGUGCAGGAGAGGUAAGUGGAAUUCCUAGUGUAGCGGUGAAAGGCGUAGAUAUUAGGAGGAACACCGGUGGCGAAGGCGGCUUACUAGACUGUAACUGACGUUGAGGCUCGAAAGCGUGGGGAGCAAACAGGAUUAGAUACCCGAGUAGUC